rnacentral:lncRNA from 1 species
CCACUUCUUCUUCCUCUUCAUUGUUGUUGUCGCCGUCAAAGUGAUUUGCUUGCCAUGUCCUAAGAAUUCUAUUUAUUUCGAUGGCUAUUGGUUUUCCCAUGUCCUUCUAUAUGUUUUUACAAAUUGUCAUGCAAUUAAACUAAAAAAAGAAAAACCUAUCCAGUGAUCUUUGAGUGCGAGUGAUUUCCUUAUAAUACUUUGUGUUGUUGCUGGUUCCGGCUAAAAUCAGAAGAUGAGCGAUCGGACCUUGCAUAGAGAUAUUGGAGUGAUCUGCAAA